UGCGCGAUCGGGCAACCGCGGGGGCGCUUGCGUGGCUGGCUGAGCAAAGGCUUCCUUUCCUUCAUCCGGCUUCCAGAGUAGUGCGGCCUACUGGCGCCGGUCUGACUGGGAUUUCCCAGCGGUUUAUUGAGGUGCCACCCGGUGCUGGGGACCGCGAGUAUAGCUGCAGGCUGGCGGGCCCGAGAGCAAAGGCCUACCUCUGCUCUGUGGUUGAAUGCUUAGUUCUGAGACUGCUGAUUGCGGAGACCUGAAAAGCUUGUUGAGCAGGAAAAGCAAAGACUAAGGUGAAUGUAUUAUGGAGGUAGGGUUAUGGUGACAUACUUGUUUCUGUGCUUUUCUGUAUUCCCUGAAUUCCCAAGGACGAGUCAUAAUAAUAACCAUUUUCCUGAGUGCAAACUAGUGUCUGGUUCCAUAUCAAACAUUCCUAUCAAGAUCUAUUUUAGAGAUGAAGAACAGACUCAGAAACAUUCAAAGUAAUCUGUCCAAAGUCACAUCUGAGAAGUGAUGGCACAGAGUUUCAGACUGGGGUUUCACUGGUUUCUGGAUCACUCACCAUUAUGCCUUAAGUAUUACAAAGUAACAUGUAUGAUUAGUAUAUCCUUCCCCUCCCUACCCCCGAAACUGGGAAGGUUUGAGGACAUUGGUAUUUGUUUGUUUGUUUGUUUGUUUAAUUAAAUGCCCUGAUUAUUGGUCCUGGGCUCUCUGGCAGCCACUGCUUUUGCAGAGGUUUUUAUUUGUGGUUCGUUGAGCAAGCAGCCACUAAGCAGAGAGCUGCCCCUGAGUUACGCAACUGAACUGCCCUUUUUGUUUCAAUUGUCCUCUUACGAUUUUACUUCACAAACAAUCCAUUCUCCCCAGUUUCCUCCUUCACCAUUUUUUUUCUUGGUUAAAUUGUCCCACCCACUUUCUGCUAUCUAGCUCUCUGUGUCUUGCCCUCACUCUCUCCGCAGACCAGUCCUGUGACUGUAACCAUACUUACCAGAGUGGUUUCUCGUGCCUUAUGGAAGCUUGUGCAAAGUCUCCCUGACAGGAAGUGACCAAGCUCCUCACCCUCAGGCCUGUUCCAUCAUUACCCAGUUCAGGGGAUUUGUGCCUCAAAGCCUCUAACGAACUUGAAUGUGUUUGGGAAAAGUAUAAGAUACAAUCCCAUCAAUAUUGUUUGAAAUAAAAUUGUUAUUGUGCUUCA